rnacentral:rRNA from 1 species
AAACUUUCAACAACGGAUCUCUUGGUUCUGGCAUCGAUGAAGAACGCAGCGAAAUGCGAUAAGUAAUGUGAAUUGCAGAAUUUAGUGAAUCAUCGAAUCUUUGAACGCACAUUGCGCCCCUUGGUAUUCCGAGGGGCAUGCCUGUUCGAGCGUCAUUU